rnacentral:lncRNA from 1 species
UAAGACACCGUGCCUGGCCACUAAUAAUAAUAAUUUAAAAAUUUCUGAAAAUGAUUCUGCAUCUGCCAAAUGUGCUGCAUGAAUUCUCAGCAUAACUCAGUGACACAGUUUAAUCCCCAUUUUCCAGAUGCGAAAAUUGAGAUUCAGAGCAGUGUAAUGAACCGAGCUCACACCGCUGGUAGGUGGAGCAGGUGUGCGUGUUUUGUGCUCAUGUAGGGGGUUGGGGAGUGUUCCAGCCAGCCUCUGUGCACCUGGGGUGGGGGUGGAAUGAGGAGGGGGUUGUUGUGAGCCUGAGGGUCGCACUGUCUGUGGUUCUCUCCUUCCUGUCAGCUGAGCCCAGCUCCAGACUCAAGAGGAACGGCUGGGGUGAUACCAUCUCCUGGUUUCUGCGGGGGUGUAUGUGAGUUCCCUCCCCCUGCCCCCAGCUGUGGGACUGUCCCUUCUCACAGCCACCACCAACUGACUUCCCCACAGCCUCCAGAUGAGCAAAAAGGUAAAACUCCGGCAUUUUCCACAUCCUCAGCAUCCUCCACCUCCUCAGCUGUUCGCACCCGUGCUGGGAUGCAGGUCAGAGACAGCCAGAGACACAGUGGACUGCAGAGAUCGAGAGACGCGGUGGGGAGACAAAGAGACGGAUAAAGAGAAGCACAGAGAUGGAGAACGAAGUCAGUCAGAGAGACAGAGAUGCUGGGCCAGAGUGACAGCCAGAAAGCCACGGGAUGCCCAGAAGCAGAGACGUCUGCAGAGAGACAGUGAUGGACAAAGAGAAACAGAAACAAGGCGGGAAACAGGAGGAUCGCUUGAGCCCAGGAGAUCGAGACCAGCCUGGGCAACAAACGAAUAGCGUGAGUCAAGAGAAUCCCCUCACUCAGACACCCAGGUUCGGGUCCCAACUUUGUCGCCGUGUGACCUUGGGCAAAUGACCUCACCUCUGAGCCUCAACGUCUUCUUCUGCAAAAUGGGUUAGUGAUCCUGACUAUGGGGCUGUUGAUUCAGGAUUCGGCGGGAACGCCCAGCACUUCCUGAGUACACAAGAGUGCUGAGAAAAUGG